AGCCUAGCGCUAAGGCUUGAUGUGGUUGUCGCAAGGCAAUCAAUAAAACAGCAUCAAGCGGUGCAGCGUUACAAACUCUGGUGUUUAGUGGUGCCAAUGUGGUAUACGGUUCGCCGUGUGCCACUUUCGGCCAUGGUGCAUAAGUCCCAUUGACUUGGGCUUAUUCUAUAUUUGAGAUGUCUACGGAUUUGGGGCAACUUGAGUCCGUGGAUGAGCCAUAGAGGGUGAAAGUCCCUUAAUGCACAGGUAUUGGUGCCACGAACUAGAGCAGUGGCGUCUGGUAAAACAGGCGUUGCGAUUUGUUAGAGUCGGGUUGCUUGAGAGUGCAACCUAAAGAGCGAGGUAAACUGCUCGUAAGGCUAUUGAAAUACGGCUACGACACCGAUAGCAAACAAGUACCGUGAGGGAAAGUUGAAAAGUACUUUGAAGAGAGAGUUAAACAGGGCGUGAAACCGCUAGCUGGUAAACGAGUGGAGCCACGAAGUCGUUUCGUAGAAUACGGGGCGCAGAUUCAGUCGGGGUGCGUUUCAUCGCGAAGCGCGCUUUGGCGUAUUUCUGCUUGUUCCGCUACUGUAAGCGUACACUGCAACCAAUUAGACGGCCAACGAUGGAAGCAGUUUGCAUGUUAACAGGGAAACUUGUUGCUUGUAAGCGAACAAAUUUGUGUAUUUGCUGUAGGUAGCCUGACUAGAGCCUUCGGGUUUUAUUUGGGUGUCUGACAUUUGGUAAAUGCGUGAACUAUUGUUGGGUACUGAUUGGCAAAAUGAAAAUCGAACUGGUGAAACAGUUCGUGUUAACAUAGAAAGCGGCCAGCGUUGUGUUUGAGUACAAUUGUGCGUUUCUAGUUAAAGCUUGGUAUUUUUUGAAUUCAGGCGGUGCUAAUAUCAGGGGCUUGCUCUUGAUUUAGUAUUUGUUUCCUGCACUAAUCGGAUGCCAACUUUGCUGGAGAUUUGAUGCAGUUGGUGCGAUAGCAUUGAGCGCAACAGUUGGUUUGCAAGUAUUGGCAGUGAGUAGGUCGGCUUUCCACACGACCCGUCUUGAAACACGGACCAAGGAGUCUAGUUAAGUAUCGAGUCGAUCGGUCUUGAUUAGGCCAGACACUGUGAGCGUGAGGCGUGUAAAAAGCGUCUUGCGUGUUAGUCGCAGAAUAACCAAACAAAUGAUGGCGUAGUGAAAUCAAAUUAUAUGUGAUCUGAGGUCUAUAAAAAUGGCCUACAGCGCAACAUAUGCCCAUUCGUAUGAUUAUACGCGCAAGUGUUAAUUGAAUGGAGCAAAGAGAUACUUGACUGGUACCCGAAAGAUGGUGAACUAUUCCUGGCCAGAUUGAAGCCAGAGGAAACUCUGGUGGAGGAUCGUAGCGAUUCUGACGUGCAAAUCGAUCGUCAGAGCUGGGUAUAGGGGCGAAAGACUAAUCGAACCAUCUAGUAGCUGGUUCCCUCCGAAGUUUCCCUCAGGAUAGCAAGCUCUCGUUAAAACGUGAAUCAGUUUCAUCUGGUAAAGCGAAUGAUUAGAGGCAUUGGGAGCGAAACGCUCUCAACCUAUUCUCAAACUUUAAAUGGGUGAGAUGUACGACGUACUUAAUUGACGCCGUAUAAUUCAGAAUGUAUUGAGAGCUUAGUGGGCCAUUUUUGGUAAGCAGAACUGGCGAUGCGGGAUGAACCGAAAGUGAAGUUAAGGUUGCCGAUAAUGGUGCUAACAAUUGAGCACUAGCUACACUCAUGAGAUCCCCAUGAAAGGUGUAAGUUGCUAAAGACAGCAAGGACGUGGCCAUGGAAGUCGGAAACAUCUAAGGAGUGUGUAACAACUCACUUGCCGAAGCAACUUGCCCUGAAAAUGGAAGCAGCUCGAGUGUUGAACCUAUACUUGACCGUUGAAUUAUUGUUCGUUUAAAUGGCGAUUAGCUAUGAUUCAACGUGUAGGAGGGUUGUGUUGGUAGCGUUGAAGGCUAUGAGGGCGUGAGCCUGGCUGGAGCUGCCAAUAGUACAGAUCUUGGUGGUAGUAGCAAAUACUCAAGUGAGACCCUUGAGGGCCAAUGUGGAGAAGGGUUCCAUGCUAACAGCAAUUGGACAUGGGUCAGUCGGUCCUAAGAGAAUGGCGAAAGCUAUUUCUGAAUCAAAGGCGGUGUAAUCAAAACAUGAAUCAUACAAAUUGUGAGUUGAAACGCAACAACGUUGUGUGGAAACGAUCAAAAUAAAUGUGCAAUGAACACUGCAUGACUCGAAAGGGAAUUAGGUUAAUAUUCCUAAACCAAGAUGGGGAGAUGGUCGGUUGUGCGGUCAUUCAUUUGGCUGUGCAAUCGGUCUUGGCGGCAACGCAAACAAGCACGAUGACGCCGGCGGCAGCCCUGGGAAGAGUUGUCUUUUCUUUGUAAGCUUACUGUGUUUUUCAACGAAACCUUGGAAUCGAAUCAUUCGAAGAUAAGGUUGUAGUAAGCGUAAAGCAGUGCGGUUCUAGUACUGUCCAGAGAGCUGUCUUCGGCCCUUGAAAAAUCGUGUGCGCG
rnacentral:rRNA from 1 species